rnacentral:rRNA from 1 species
AACUUUGGACAAGGUGGGAAAUCCUGAUGCAGCCAUUGCGCGUGUAUGAUGAAGGCCUUCCGGUUGUAAAGUUCUUUUGGCAGAGAAGAAAAGGUAUCCCCUAAUACGGGAUACUGCUGAUGGUAUUUGCAGAAUAAGCACCGGUGAACUACGUUUAAGCAGUCGCUGUAAUACGUAGGGUGCAAGCGUUAAUCGGAAUUACUGGGCGUAAAGCGUGUGUAGGCGGUUCGGAAAGAAAGAUGUGAAAUCCCAGGGCUCAACCUUGGAACUGCAUUUUUAACUGCCGAGCUAGAGUAUGUCAGAGGGGGGUAGAAUUCCACAUGUAGCAGUGAAAAGCGUAGAUAUGUGGAGGAAUACCGAUGGCGAAGGCAGCCCCCUGGGAUAAUACUGACGCUCAGACACGAAAGCGUGGGGAGCAAACAGG